CACAAGUGUGAGCAGCGGUUACACACUCUCAUGUGCAGCAGGGCUCAAUGGCCUGUGUGUCGUAAGGGAGUACUGCCAAAACGGUCAUUAAAAUUAUCUUCCAUUUAUCCUAUCACAGUAGCCCUUUUGUUUGGUCAUACCACACAGGAUAGCCUUUGCUCACGUCUCGCAUCAACAAGUUUUGGCCGCCCAACACCCUGUUGGUAGGUUGGAGUUUAUUCCAAUCCUGACCACUCAGCAGGUACUCACUCAGCAGGUACUCACUCAGAAGGUAUUCACUCAGAAGGUAUUCACUCAGCAGGUACUCACUCAGAAGGUACUCACUCAGCAGGUACUCACUCAGAAGGUAUUCACUCAGCAGGUACUCACUCAGCAGGUACUCACUCAGAAGGUACUCACUCAGCAGGUAUUUACUUUGAGCACCCCGCAAUCUUUGCUGUUUUGGAGAUUCUCUGACCCCGUUGUCCGGUCAUAUUGAUCUGGCCCUUGUUAGACUCAUUCGGGUCUUUAUCCCUGUCCAUUUCCUCUGCAAUCAAUAUGUCGAGUACGAGUACCACGGGUCAGCUUACCGUCUAACAUAUCUCAGUCCUUGACAUGUACCAUUUUAACGAGAUAGUCGACAUUAUUCAUUUCAUGUGGGGGUGGUCAUAAUAUUUUGACUUAUUGGUCUGUAUACAGGUGUGAACAAAUUUGGGGAUCACAGCACAAAGUCAGCCAGCAUCCAGCUCCCCUGAAGCGGUUGGGAUUAAGGCCCUUGCUCAAGGGGCCAUCAGUAACCUUACUCUGCCAACCACAGGAUUUGAACCCAUAACCUUCAAACCACAAUCAGUCCUAACCCCCAGAGCCCCACAUACCAUCCUUAAUUUGCUUGUUUUUUU